UGGGGAAUAUUGGACAAUGGGGGGAACCCUGAUCCAGCAAUGCCGCGUGUGUGAAGAAGGCCUGAGGGUUGUAAAGCACUUUCAGUGGGGAGGAGGAUUGGUUGGUUAAGAGCUGAUUGAUUGGACGUUACCCACAGAAGAAGCACCGGCUAACUCCGUGCCAGCAGCCGCGGUAAUACGGAGGGUGCGAGCGUUAAUCGGAAUUACUGGGCGUAAAGGGUGCGUAGGUGGUUGUAUAAGUUAUCUGUGAAAUCCCCGGGCUUAACCUGGGCAGGUCAGAUAAGACUGUAUGACUCGAGUAUGGGAGAGGGUAGUGGAAUUUCCGGUGUAGCGGUGAAAUGCGUAGAGAUCGGAAGGAACACCAGUGGCGAAGGCGGCUACCUGGCCUAAUACUGACACUGAGGCACGAAAGCGUGGGGAGCAAACA
rnacentral:rRNA from 1 species